GAUCAUGGCUCAGGAUGAACGCUAGCGGCAGGCUUAACACAUGCAAGUCGAGGGGCAGCAUAAUGGAUAGCAAUAUCUAUGGUGGCGACCGGCGCACGGGUGCGUAACGCGUAUGCGACCUACCUUUAACAGGGGGAUAAACACUGAGAAAUUGGUACUAAUACCCCAUAAUAUCAUAGAAGGCAUCUUUUANGGUUGAAAAUUCCGAUGGUUAGAGAUGGGCAUGCGUUG
rnacentral:rRNA from 1 species